rnacentral:rRNA from 1 species
GGGAAACUGCCUGAUGGAGGGGGAUAACUACUGGAAACGGUAGCUAAUACCGCAUAAUGUCGCAAGACCAAAGAGGGGGACCUUCGGGCCUCUUGCCAUCAGAUGUGCCCAGAUGGGAUUAGCUAGUAGGUGGGGUAAUGGCUCACCUAGGCGACGAUCCCUAGCUGGUCUGAGAGGAUGACCAGCCACACUGGAACUGAGACACGGUCCAGACUCCUACGGGAGGCAGCAGUGGGGAAUAUUGCACAAUGGGCGCAAGCCUGAUGCAGCCAUGCCGCGUGUAUGAAGAAGGCCUUCGGGUUGUAAAGUACUUUCAGCGGGGAGGAAGGUGUUGAGGUUAAUAACCUCAGCAAUUGACGUUACCCGCAGAAGAAGCACCGGCUAACUCCGUGCCAGCAGCCGCGGUAAUACGGAGGGUGCAAGCGUUAAUCGGAAUUACUGGGCGUAAAGCGCACGCAGGCGGUCUGUCAAGUCGGAUGUGAAAUCCCCGGGCUCAACCUGGGAACUGCAUUCGAAACUGGCAGGCUAGAGUCUUGUAGAGGGGGGUAGAAUUCCAGGU